rnacentral:ncRNA from 1 species
GGACCAGGGGAAUCCGACUGUUUAAUUAAAACAAAGCAUCGCGAAGGCCCACGGCGGGGGUUGACGCGAUGUGGGUUCUGCCCAGUGCUCUGAACGUCAAAAGGAAGAAAUUCAAUGAAGCGCGGGUAAACGGCGGGAGUAACUAUGACUCUCUUAAGAUGGGAUCACAGUUACUAACUGGGCUAAGCUGCAGAGGUCACACCUCCUUGUGGUCCUGCUGGAUGCCC